CGGCGCGGGCGGCGGCGGCGGCAUGGCGGAGAGCGAGGCCGAGACCCCCAGCACCCCGGGGGAGUUCGAGAGCAAGUACUUCGAGUUCCACGGCGUGCGGCUGCCGCCCUUCUGCCGCGGGAAGAUGGAGGAGAUCGCCAACUUCCCGGUGCGGCCCAGCGACGUGUGGAUCGUCACCUACCCCAAGUCGGGCACAAGCCUGCUGCAGGAGGUUGUCUACCUGGUGAGCCAAGGGGCCGACCCCGAUGAGAUCGGCCUGAUGAACAUCGACGAGCAGCUCCCGGUCCUGGAGUACCCCCAGCCAGGCCUGGACAUCAUCAAGGAACUGACGUCUCCCCGCCUCAUCAAGAGCCACCUCCCCUACCGCUUCCUGCCCUCCGACCUCCACAACGGUGACUCCAAGGUCAUCUACAUGGCUCGGAACCCCAAGGACCUGGUGGUGUCCUACUACCAGUUCCACCGCUCGCUGCGGACCAUGAGCUACCGGGGCACUUUCCAGGAGUUCUGCCGGAGGUUCAUGAACGACAAGCUGGGCUACGGCUCCUGGUUUGAGCACGUGCAGGAGUUCUGGGAGCACCGCAUGGAUGCCAAUGUGCUCUUCCUCAAGUACGAAGACAUGCACCGGGACCUGGUGACCAUGGUGGAGCAGCUGGCCAGAUUCCUGGGUGUGUCCUGUGACAAGGCCCAGCUGGAGUCCCUGAGCGAGCACUGCCACCAGCUGGUGGACCAGUGCUGCAACGCGGAGGCCCUGCCUGUGGGCCGGGCACAUUGCCUCUUUGCUCAGAAGAUCUCCUUGAGCUGGUGAGAGCGCAGGGCUCGGGUAGCCAGCCGCAUUGCUUAAAUUUGAUUCAUAUCACAGCAUAAAUUGUCUUGAUUCCAAAUCCUAAACCAGGGCGGGUCGGGCUGUGGAAGGACAUCUUCACCGUCUCCAUGAACGAGAAGUUCGAUCUUGUGUAUAAACAGAAGAUGGGGAAGUGCAACCUCACCUUUGACUUUUAUUUAUAGUAACAGAAACAGCAAACUUGCAUGCCCUCAGUACCCAGACGCUCUGCUAGCUAAAAGUCCGUAUGCAUUCAUUUAUUCCUUGCUGGACACACUCUGGAAGCAGCGUGUAAACAACGGGAAGAACCCAGCGGAGAACCCGGAGAAGGGUGCGGAUGCCCACCAGGCGGCGUCUCGCCCUCAGCAUUUGCAGUCUCUGCUGUGUACAAACCUCAUGGAGUGCAGUCCUGGUGGCUGUGCCACUUUAAGUGUGGCACCUGCACCAUGGGAGGCCAAGUGCCGCCUGUACCACCCUGUGCCACUUCCUGUGUUUUAUAGAGCUUUUCACUGGAAGUCUGAAUAAAUGUCGGUAAACCAAAUAGAAGUUCACUUUUGGGGGGAAGCAAGAGUGAGCCACUCCCAAACGGCAGGAAGAUCUCAGGGUCGCCUCUAGUCUGGUCGCCUAAGCCACAGCCAUUCCGUUCCGCUCUUGCCUAGCCUGCAAUGGUGAGAGCGUGUGGUGGGGGGAACCUGCCUGGUUUGGGUGGAGGUGGGUCCUUUGACCCUUUCUGACACCAGGCAGAUCCUGUUCUCAGGCCAGAGCAGAGGAUUCCAUGGAAGUUUCUGUGGGGAAACGUGGCUACGAGGUCAGCAGCGCUCGAAAGCAGUGAGUGGAGGGUCUGCCAGAGAGACCUCGAUGCUCUGGAGUCACGUUUGAACUGUAGUCUAACCUUUUGUCCCUGGGGCAAUAGCACACCUGUGCUGGCAGUCCGUUUCCCAAAACCCCUGUCUUGCAUUCAGCUUGUUCCAGCUGUACGUGAGGCGGAGGGCCGAGGGUCGUGAGCUGGCCUGCAAGUUGAGCUCCCUCACCAGAGGGGUUGGCGAGCCGCCCUUGUCUGUCACCCCACACCUUGGGGUAUCUGAGGGAGCAAAGGUGAUGUGUCAUUGUCCUACCACCUCCUGAAUCUUCUGGCCCACAUUCAGCUGGAGGUGAUGGAGAUGUGAGGUGGGCUGCUGCCAGCUGCAGGUGGCGUGCAGCCUGCUACUACAGGGGGCUGCGUGGUCUCUGACUCCCUCUGGGGUUGCUGCUGGGGAAGGGGCUCUGCAGCGGAGGCUGUCUGAAGCAGGUGCAGCGGGAGGCUGGGGGUUCUGUUCCUGCUGGGGCACCUGGCGCUACGCGGAGGUGGUGGCACCUUUUCUGUGCGUCUGGGACAGGCUGCUUUCUGUGAAAUUUCAUUUCUAUUUUUCUAUUUUUCGCACUGGGUGGUGUCACCGAGCGCCACCUGGUGUUGCUGUGCUUGCUGCAUCUUGAAUAAAGACACUUGCCCUGCCUUCUGUCGUGCGUGUGCUGGGGGUGGAGGACGGUCCCUGUGGGUCCUCAGGACUGUGGGACAACAGGAGGGUGAGCCACAUAAAUGUCCCAUUCCCUGAGGUUGAUGACAGAGGGAAACCGGCCACCUUGAGACCAGAAUCAGGCUGUUUAACUUACGGUUUCCAACGUUUGGCUCCCUGUGUUUUGGCGUAUUUUUAUGUAUUCACAGAGUACAACCCCGUGUGUGUAUAUAAUUAGGAUCCCUUUCACCUUUUAUAAAGAGGUGGCUGGAGGGAGGAGGGGUUUCCAUGCACCUGUGGGGCGGGCCUCCGCCUCUGCAGCCUGCCGGACAGCACUGUGUCCUGGGGUUUGCCAGGGACAGCUAAGCAGUCAGGGUUGCACUGCCCCCCAUGAAUUCCAAGGCCUCUCCAGGGUCCUUAGCGAAGGGAAGGUGACAUUGUUUUUCUUGAGAAAGCGAAAGCUUCCUGGAGAAUCCUGUUUACUGUCAGGUGAGUGACUUCCUCCAGGCCACAGGUGAAACCCUCUCUUGUGUCUGGUUGGUUCAUUGCGUGUCCCUCCUGCGUUGCCCUGCUGUCUGCCCUGGGGCAUGCACCCACCUGAAACACCGCAGGGAGCUCGUGGAGUCCAAAGGCAGUGCGUGGUGGGCUCUCUCCACCCCACACCUGCUCUGCUGAUGUCCCCUCAUUUCAGGGCGUCUUUUAUCCACUAGAUACUUGAGCACCUGCUCUGUCUUGGGCCCUGUGCAGAGCAGCAGCAGAGCAGUGGACAGCCCAGCCUCCAGGCCCGUGUGUCCCAGUGGGGAGAGAAGUCAGUCAGACCUGAGGCAAGGUCAGGGUCGAGUGCCAGCAGAGAGCUGGGGAGCAGGCUGUGGAGGAGUGGGAGGCCCCCGCUCAGGGAGCCACUGAGGAGAGCCUGGGUGGCAGCAGUGUGCCCGCCGGCCCCAGGCACUCCUAUGGCAGGAGCUCGCUUUGGAAGGGGUUUUGCACUAAAAAGGAAGUCGUGGGUGGUUUGUUUCAUAGGAGAGGACACCUGCUUUGCAUCUUCCAAGGCUUCCCUGGCUGCCCUGUGAGUCACCUGCGGGGCCGCCCAUACUGUGGCGCAGGCAGGCUCAGCAUGAAGACAUCUCCAGGGUCCCUCCCCACCUGGAAGUCUGGUCUUGGCAUUCACGGGUCCUGGGUGUCAUCUGCAGUUCCUACCUUGCUGCCUCCGAGUUGUGAUGAGGGACAUCAGCUGGGCCAUGAGGAACCGCGAGGACACAGGUAGAAGCAGGUGUGAGGGUGUUGUGGGCGGCUGGAGGAGUUAGUGUGCUGAGCGCAGCUGGAGUCCAGCAGGGCCUGCUGGGAGGAGCCUGGACAGGCAGAGGGCGAGGGUGCCCAGGUGGCUGCUGUGAAAACAGGCCACUAGGAGCUCGUGUCCGUCAGUGGUUGCCCUUUAUUUCACAUGCCAGGAAGGUGCUGGGAUGUGUCUGGGUGGACGUAGGUGUAUGUGUACUUGUGAGUUGGUGCUGCAGUCCUGGGCAGAGCGUGUGACUACAGCCUCCCCAGGCUGGGGCCCUGCUCCGACACUAGGUGUUUGGAGCUUAUCCUGUUUUCCCUCCUGGCCCCGUUAUUGACCUGAGUGGGGACCAGCAUGGGCUCCAUGGCAUCCCACCGGACGCUCCUCUGACCCAGCAGCAUCAUGUGCAGGAAGGCAGUCACCUUUGUCCCGUUCACUUUCAGAAUGGUCAUGACACCACCAUGGCCCUUAAACAAUGCACAAACCCCUACCCCAGCUGCUCUGCGCCAGCUCCGCCUGGUGGCCAGGGUGCUGCUGCCAGCUCAUGGCCUCAGUUCUGUGGUUGAGGAGUGCACAGUGGUGGUCACAGCACUGCAGAGGGACGCCAAUCAGCUACAGGCCCUACUGCGCGCUGGCCCCCCCUUCCUGGGCUGGGGAUGGAGCUGGUGUUGGAGGAGUCUUGGUGCCUGGGCUCUGUGGCGCCAGCCCUGUUCUCUGGAGUUCUCCCUCCCCACUCGGAACCUUUGAGCUCCUCGGUGCACAGCAUGCACUGCAGUACAGGGAUGGCACCUUGGUCAGGGUCCAGCCUUGCCCAGCAAGGAAUGGCCUCUGAUAUCCCCAGCAGCCGGAUGCACGGUCCCUGGUAAGCUUGCUGCCUCCAGACUCUGCGAAGUCUCUAGUGACCUUGCAGGCACUGUCCCUGCCAGCUGUGUCUCUGCACCUUGGGAUGUUCACUUCCUCACGCUGGGCCCCCAGCCCUGCUGCCUCCGCCCGGGGCGAGUCCCUCUCCUUCCCUGGACUGCGGUUCCUCGUGCUCCCUACUGUCCUCUCUUUGUGCCCACCUCGGUGUCCUGUGGCCGUGUCCCUCAAUGAACAGCCGUGCUCUGAGAGCAGCAAAGGUUCUGUCUUCCUAGGUCAGAGGUGGGCACCUGGUCAGUGACUAGUGAGUGAAAGGCUACUUCAACUGCCAGUGCCGCUCUUUCCCUUCAGGAAGCUGCCCACCUUGCACCUUCCGACCACUGCAGCGGGCUGGCUGGUGGAGGCUGCAUCUUCUGGGCCGUCACCGGAUGACCCCAUGCCCUGGCCCCAGUUCUGAGCGUCUGUUCCUUUACUGUCCGUGCCAUGGACCCUGCUUGCUCCUGAGGUGCAGCCUGGAAGUCGCUGGCUGCAUGGACCCUGCUUGCUCCUGAGGUGCAGCCUGGAAGUCGCCGGCUGCAUGGACCCAGGCUGGAUUGCAGGGGGCUGUUCCUGGUGCUCCCCUUCCCACCUCUCCUCUGCCUCUUCCCUUAAGCUGAGGCACGUGGUGCCUAUGAAGCUGCCGGCGUCCCUCCUUGGUCACGCCUGUCUCCUUUCUUCAUCUCUUGGCAUUUACUGAGCACCUACUCUGUGAGGCCUGGUGCUGGGUGCUGGGGACCCACCCUUCUAUUCCAUGGGCUCUGCUCUGCGUCAUCACCCACACCAGUAUGGAAAAGGGCCUGGUGGGGAGCAGAGGUGGCUGUGAAGUCUAGGUGCUGGAACUGGGCAAGGCGCCUGCCCUCCCAGCCUGGGCCUCAGUUUGUUCACUGUAGUCUUGUAGUCUGUUUAUGGCUGAGGGACUGUCCCCACCAGGAAUGGUGGAGAGUGACCUCUGCAGAGACUGGGAGCAGACAACCUCAGGGCUGCAGAAAGGCUGCUUAUGUGAGAAACCCAGUGGGAGCUGGGUCUAAAAACAGGGCAGGAAGCGGAGGGUGCGUGCAGGGGCAUGGACAGAAAUACAGCAGGCCAUGCCAGGGCAGGCAGCCUCGCCCAGUCCCCACUGCAGUUCCAGGUCCAGCUCUGUCCACGUCCAGGAAUUCAAGCAGGGUCCUUUCAUCCCAAGGUGAAGAGGUCUCAGCCCAGAGCCUUGGGAGACUCCUUUGUGUGGUCAGAUUGCCUACCGACCAGCUCCACAGAGGAGCUAAUGAAGCCAGUGACUUUGUAGCUGAGGGACAGGCCAGCAAAAGAAUCAGUCGCAGAAGCACCUGCCACACAGAUUGGCCUGCAGUUCCCAUCUCCAAGGCGUGCUAAGCUCUUGCCAAAUCUGUACAUCAAAUGACAAUUUGAUUCGCACACUUGGAUUCCUGCGUGCUAGUUGGCAUGGAGCGUCUGAGCUGCAGUCCUUAAAUCUGUCUCCUGCCACGAGGAUAGGAGCCUGUGCUUAUUAAAAGCAGUUUGGUUUUUUUUAAACCAAAGAAUGCUAAGUGUGUCUGAAAAAUAAAAACCAACCAGA